AACUGGGGCAGUGGCAUACUGCAACAACUCUGGAGCUCCUGCAAACAGCUGGCUCGUCUUUGGGCACAUAACACCGUGUUCAACGUCCUUAUCUCCUCUAGAUCCCUGUGUGUUGCUGACUACUGACAGAAAUGUCAGAGACGUCAAGUGAUACAGAGUCGUCCUGUGGCUGGACCAUUAUCAGCAAUGAGGGUUCAGAUAUCGAGACGUUGGGAUCGGAGGCUGCAGUGGAAUAUGGAGCCGAGCUGUUAGAGCGCUCUCCAGUGGAGGAAGAAGAGUUGCAGGAAAAACAGGCCUCUGCAU